UCAUGUUUUAAACACUGUGUGAGCCCGGGAGGCUGCUUGACAAAAAGCCAAGCGAGCAGGUUGAGAGGAAAUAAAAGGUGUCCACACGGACAGAAAUUCAUCAGCGUGUACGAUGUCUGUGCUAAAGAGAUUUAAAAAAAAAAGAAAUGGAAAUACUGCUAAGCUGCCUCCCAUCAAAAGCACAAAUGAUACCUUAAAAAAAUGGGGCCAGAAUUCGCCUAAACCGUGCCGGGUGUGGAAAUCUCGAGGACGCGGGGCUGCUCCGCGCUUCCUCCCUGCUGUGGGUUGGCGUGUGGGAGUGGGAAUAGUCGAGAAGGGAAAACAGAUCUGUGGAGCAUUGUAGAAGGCUGAGGGUAGCCUGUCCCUGGCUGAGCCCUGCACGGAGCCCGGCAUCCCAGCGCUUUUGGCGAUCACUUCUUUCCAUCCUCAACAACAGUUUCAAUGGUUUCCUGCUGCCUAGUAGCCAGGUUAUUAACAUUGAACUGGGCUUCCCUUCUGAAUCAAACUUUAGUGGUCCAGAAUAUAUUUCAGCUGAGAGCACAGUUUUUUGUUUUUGCUGUUGUUGUUGUUGUUGUUUGUAAUGGCUGAAAUAAGAAAUUGAGUCGUUAAGUCAUUCGAAUUCCUUCAGGGUUUAAUCUCUGCGGGCCUUCUCAGCUUUUUUAUGUGUACAGUCAAGGGAAGCUUGGAGAAGCGAAAAAGGCUGUCGUGAUAAAGGCAUUGAAGACUUGCUCCCGACACAAUGUUCAGAGGAAAGGGCUUUGGUAAAGUGACCGGACCGGUGCUUUGGUGGACUCAUACUUGGAUGGCAUUUUUGGAGGCCUACAACAAGGAAGCCAGCCAGCCAUGAACUGACACUUCCAAAACUGAGAACCUAAAUAAAGCCACCUCCCUGAAAUUGUUUCCAAAUAUCUUUUUAUUGUGACAAAAAGUGACUGACUCUGAAGUAUUUGAGGAAUUUACUCAGUACAAUAAAGGUUUUUCGUAUCAGUCAUGCAAAUUAUACCUCUCUGUGACCAGAAUGGCAAAAAUGCAGAAAGAAGCUAUUUUCUCAACGUGGACCAUCAUAAAGACAAGAAGGAAGCUGGGUGUAGUGGCACCCAUAUAACUUUUCUGAAUAAUUAGGCCAGAUACGAUGAUGCAUGCCUCUAAUCCCAGCACACUCACAAGGCAGAGACGGGAAGAUCUCUGUGAAUCUAAGGCCAGUUGCGGUUACAUAAUAAGACUCAAAAAAAAAAAGAAUGUAAAAUAUGCACCAUUUAAAAGAUAUAACAAGUAUGAAAUAACUAUAGCAACUACCU